rnacentral:rRNA from 1 species
UACGUAGGGUGCGAGCGUGUCCGGAAUUAUUGGGCGUAAAGAGCUCGUAGGCGGUCUGUCGCGUCGAUCGUGAAAACUUGGGGCUUAACCCUGAGCUUGCGGUCGAUACGGGCAUGACUGGAGUUCGGCAGGGGAGACUGGAAUUCCCGGUGUAGUGGUGAAAUGCGUAGAUAUCUGGAGGAAUACCGGUGGCGAAGGCGGCAUCCUGGACCGGCAUUGACGCUGAACGGCGAAAGCUAGGGGAGCGAACAGG